rnacentral:misc_RNA from 1 species
GAAAUGCGAUAAGUAAUGUGAAUUGCAGAAUUCAGUGAAUCAUCGAAUCUUUGAACGCACCUUGCGCUCCUUGGUAUUCCUUGGAGCAUGCCUGUUUGAGUAUCAUGAAAUCUUCAAAGUAAAUCUUUUGUUAACUCAAUUGGUUUAUACUUUGGUAUUGGAGGUCUUUGCAGCUUCACACCUGCUCCUCUUUGUUCAUUAGCUGGAUCUCAGUGUUAUGCUUGGUUCCACUCGGCGUGAUAAGUUAUCUAUCGCUGAGGACACUGUAAAAGGUGGCCAAGGUAAAUGCAGAUGAACCGCUUCUAAUAGUCCAUUGACUUGGACAAUACUUUUAUGAUCUGAUCUCAAAUCAGGUAUGACUACCCGCUGAACUUAAGC